CCCACCACUCACGUGGUGGGCUAUUUCAUUCCGUCGCUGCGCAACU
rfam:Candidatus Koribacter versatilis Ellin345, complete genome.